UACGAAGGGGGCUAGCGUUGCUCGGAAUCACUGGGCGUAAAGGGGUGCGUAGGCGGGUCUUUAAGUCAGGGGUGAAAUCCUGGAGCUCAACUCCAGAACUGCCUUUGAUACUGAAGAUCUUGAGUUCGGGAGAGGUGAGUGGAACUGCGAGUGUAGAGGUGAAAUUCGUAGAUAUUCGCAAGAACACCAGUGGCGAAGGCGGCUCACUGGCCCGAUACUGACGCUGAGGCACGGAAAGCGUGGGGAGCAAACAGG
rnacentral:rRNA from 1 species